UGGGGAAUAUUGGGCAAUGGGCGAAAGCCUGACCCAGCAACGCCGCGUGAAGGAAGAAGGUCUUCGGAUCGUAAACUUCUAUCCUUGGUGAAGAUAAUGACGGUAGCCGAGAAGGAAGCCCCGGCUAACUACGUGCCAGCAGCCGCGGUAAUACGUAGGGGGCAAGCGUUGUCCGGAAUGAUUGGGCGUAAAGGGCGCGUAGGCGGCCUGGUAAGUCUGGAGUGAAAGUCCUGCUUUUAAGGUGGGAAUUGCUUUGGAUACUGUCGGGCUUGAGUGCAGGAGAGGUAAGUGGAAUUCCCGGUGGAGCGCUGAAAUGCGGAGAGAUCGGGAGGAACACCAGUGGCGAAGGCGACGUACUGGACUGUAACUGACGCUGAGGCGCGAAAGUGUGGGGAGCAAACA
rnacentral:rRNA from 1 species